UAAACUCGUAGACCCAAUCUUUUCCAG
rnacentral:sRNA from 1 species